rnacentral:rRNA from 1 species
UACAGAGGUCCCAAGCGUUGUUCGGAUUCACUGGGCGUAAAGGGUGCGUAGGCGGUCGGGUAAGUCUGAUGUGAAAUCUCACAGCUUAACUGUGAAACUGCAUUGGAUACUAUCCGGCUCGAGGAAUGGAGGGGAGACUGGAAUACUUGGUGUAGCAGUGAAAUGCGUAGAUAUCAAGUGGAACACCAGUGGCGAAGGCGGUCUGCUGGGCAGUUGCUGACGCUGAUGCGCGACAGCGUGGGAGCAAACAGG